GAUGAAGAACGUAGCGAAAUGCGAUACGUAAUGUGAAUUGCAGAAUUCAGUGAAUCAUCGAGUCUUUGAACGCACAUUGCGCCCCUUGGUAUCCCGAGGGGCAUGCCUGUUCGAGCGUCAUUUCACCACUCAAGCCUGGCUUGGUGUUGGGCGACGUCCCCUUUGGGGACGCGCCUUGAAACGCUCGGCGGCGUGGCACCGGCUUUAAGCGUAGCAGAAUCUUUCGCUUUGGAAGUCGGGGCCCCGUCUGCCGGAAGACCUACUCGCAAGGUUGACCUCGGAUCAGGCAGGGAUACCCGCUGAACUUAAGCAUAUCAAUAAGCGGAGGA
rnacentral:misc_RNA from 1 species